UAAAGAAUUUCGGUCAUCGAUGGGGAUGCGUUCCAUUAGCUUGUUGGCGGGGUAACGGCCCACCAAGGCAUCGAUGGAUAGGGGUUCUGAGAGGAAGGUCCCCCACAUUGGAACUGAGACACGGUCCAAACUCCUACGGGAGGCAGCAGUGAGGAAUAUUGGUCAAUGGGCGCUAGCCUGAACCAGCCAAGUAGCGUGAAGGAUGACUGCCCUAUGGGUUGUAAACUUCUUUUAUAUGGGAAUAAAGUGCAGUAUGUAUACUGCUUUGCAUGUACCUUAUGAAUAAGGAUCGGCUAACUCCGUGCCAGCAGCCGCGGUAAUACGGAGGAUCCGAGCGUUAUCCGGAUUUAUUGGGUUUAAAGGGAGCGUAGGCGGGUUGUUAAGUCAGUUGUGAAAGUUUGCGGCUCAACCGUAAAAUUGCAGUUGAUACUGGCAUCCUUGAGUACAGUAGAGGUAGGCGGAAUUCGUGGUGUAGCGGUGAAAUGCUUAGAUAUCACGAAGAACUCCGAUUGCGAAGGCAGCCUGCUGGACUGUAACUGACGCUGAUGCUCGAAAGUGUGGGUAUCAAACAGGACUAGAUACCCUGGUAGUCCACACAGUAAACGAUGAAUACUCGCUGUUUGCGAUAUACAGUAA
rnacentral:rRNA from 1 species